GGGCCCGCACAAGCGGUGGAGCAUGUGGUUCAAUUCGACGCAACGCGAAGAACCUUACCUGGGUUGGAACCCUCCAGAAGUCCGCAGAGAUGUGGAUGUGCCCGCAAGGGAAUUGGAUGUCCAGGUGCUGCAUGGCUGUCGUCAGCUCGUGUCGUGAGAUGUUGGGUUAAGUCCCGCAACGAGCGCAACCCUUGUCGUUAGUUGCCAGCGGUUCGGCCGGGCACUCUAACGAGACUGCCGGUGUUAAACCGGAGGAAGGUGGGGAUGACGUCAAGUCCUCAUGGCCCUUAUGCCCAGGGCUACACACGUGCUACAAUGACCGGUACAAAGGGUUGCAAACCCGCGAGGGCAAGCCAAUCCCAAAAAACCGGCCUCAGUUCAGAUUGAAGUCUGCAACUCGACUUCAUGAAGUCGGAAUCGCUAGUAAUCCCUGAUCAGCAGGCAGGGGUGAAUACGUUCCCGGGCCUU
rnacentral:rRNA from 1 species